rnacentral:ncRNA from 1 species
UAAAAUCCCGAGGGUAGAUAAUACGAUUAGAAUGCAUAAUGUGAUAUGUAAAUACCAAUAAAAUUCGAGUAAAUAGAUGCAAAAUGUACAUGGAAUGUGGUAGUCCAAAAUAUUCAAACAGGCCGCCAAGGUCAUUCGAUGUUAACGAAGGAGACUUUAACCUACUAAAUAGUAGAUUGGUCCUCUGUGCUCGUUCAGGGCGCGGCUUCAAUUGCUUCUUUAUGGAGUAGUGUGGUCGUGAUCCGGCGGGUACGGUGUCAGUUUUUACUUCUUAGAGGGACAGACGGAGACAGACGUACGAAAUUGAGAAAUAACAGGUCUGUGGUGCCCUUAGAUGUCCGGGGCCACACGUGCGCUUCAAUGUCGGUGCCAGCGAGUCUGGGAACCUGGCCCGAAAGGGUUGGGCAAACUGUUUCAUCACCGUCGUGACUGGGAUCGGGGCUUGCAAUUAUUCCCCGUGAACGAGGAAUUCCUGGUAAGUGCAAGUCAUAGGCCUGCGCUGAUUACGUCCCUGCCCUUUGUACACACCGCCCGUCGCUUCUACCGACUGAAUGGUUUAGUGAAGCCGUUGGAUUGGUGUCGUUGCAGUGGCUUUGCCGCUCGACU